rnacentral:rRNA from 1 species
UACGGAGGGUGCGAGCGUUGUCCGGAAUCAUUGGGCGUAAAGGGCGCGUAGGUGGCCCGGUCAGCGUGCGGUGAAAGCUCGGGGCUCAACCCCGAGUCGGCCGUGCGAACUGCUGGGCUAGAGCACUGUAGAGGCAGGCGGAAUUCCGGGUGUAGCGGUGGAAUGCGUAGAGAUCCGGAAGAACACCGGUGGCGAAGGCGGGUCUCUGGGCCGAUACUGACGCUGAGGAGCGAAAGCGUGGGGAGCGAACAGG